rnacentral:lncRNA from 1 species
AUGGAGGCUGAACCUCAGAUCUCUGUACUUAUAAGAUGGAGGGGUCGGAGCGGAAAGUGUUGCCUGCAGCUAGCUGUGGUUUGGUGUUUGUCUACACCCACGGUGUCACAUGGCUGCAGUGAAGUGAGAAAAAUAAGGCCAAGAUCAUUCAGUCUGGGUAAAACUGUGUUUUGAGCAGCCCUAGAGAGAAGCCCACGUGCAAAGGAACUGAAGUUUCCUGCCCAAAGACAUGUGAGUGUGCCCAGAAAAGGAACCUCCCACCCUAGUCAAGCCUCCGGAGACUGCGGUCCCACCUAGGCCACCCCAAACUGUGAUCUUCAUCAACUCUGUGAUGUAAUGAUAAAUACUUAUUGCUUUAAGCUUCUACGUUUGGGGAUGAUUUUGUAUACAGCAAUUGUAGGGAGACCUGGGUAUGAGUCCUGACUUUUCCACUUCCUUGCAAAAUCACUUUGUUUGAGUCCCUUAACCUCUCAUUAUUUAUUUAUUUAUUUAUUUAUUUAUUUAUUUAUUUGUGAUAAGAGUCUCACUCUGUUGCCCAGGCUGGAGUGCAAUGGCGCAAUCUCCACUCACUACAACCUCCAGCUCCCAGGUUCAAGUGAUUCUCCUGCCUCAGCCUCCCAAGUAGCUGGGAUUACAGGCACCCGCCAUCAUACCUAGCUAAUUUUUGUAUUUUUAGUCGAGACGGGGUUUCACCUUGUUGGUCAGGCUGGUCUCGAACUCCUGACCUCAGGUGAUCCACCCGCCUCAGUCUCCCAAAGUGCUGGGAUUACAGGUGUGAGCCAGCGUGCCCAGCCCCUUAACCUCUCUUAAUAACUCCUGUUUCCUCAUCUGUAAAUGGGGAUAACUAACCCCACAGGGUUCCAUGGGGAUCAAGAAGGAAACUAGCUUUAAAUGACAGUUAGGCAUUAGAUAGUUUUAUCUACACUAUCUCAUUUUUUUCAUAUUUCAAAGGAAAAAAGAAUACAUGGAAAAUGUCUAGUAAAUUGGAGCACCAUGCUAGUAUUCUUAGAGCCAAUUCAUUCUAUGAUUUAUUAAAACAUUGUUUAACCAAACAUCAAUCUUGGAUCAGCUUUAAAUAAACCAUAUGUCUUUAAGAACCGAUGGGUUUUAAUUAGUUUCUUAAUUAG